rnacentral:rRNA from 1 species
UACGUAGGGGGCGAGCGUUGUCCGGAUUUAUUGGGCGUAAAGAGCGUGUAGGCGGUUCGGUAAGUCUGUCGUGAAAUCCUGAGGCUCAACCUCGGGCGUGCGAUGGAUACUGCCGGGCUAGAGGGUGGUAGAGGCGAGUGGAGUUCCCGGUGUAGCGGUGAAAUGCGCAGAUAUCGGGAGGAACACCAGUAGCGAAGGCGGCUCGCUGGGCCACACCUGACGCUGAGACGCGAAAGCUAGGGGAGCGAACAGG